ACGUGGACAAUCUCGCCCCCCGGCCCGGGAUAGACCCAGGGAAACCUGGAUUAAUACCGGAUGAGACGGGACCCGCGAAGGCGGGACCCGGGAAAGGCGCUGCGGCGCCGCCGGGGGAUGAGUCUGCGUCCCAUUAGCUAGACGGCGGGGUAACGGCCCACCGUGGCGACGAUGGGUAGCCGGGCCUGAGAGGGUGGACGGCCACAUUGGAACUGAGACACGGUCCAGACCCCUACGGGAGGCAGCAGCUAAGAAUCUUCCGCAAUGGGCGAAAGCCUGACGGAGCGAACCGCCGCGUGAACGAAGAAGGCCGUGAGGUUGUAAAGUUCUUUUCGGGAGGGGGGAACAACCGUGGCAGGGAAUGGCCGCGGGAUGACGUGAAUCCCGGAAUAAGCCCCGGCUAACUACGUGCCAGCAGCCGC
rnacentral:rRNA from 1 species